rnacentral:rRNA from 1 species
ACCGAGACGGCGGACGGGACGGUAGCGUAACACGUGGACAAUCUGCCCCCCGGCCCGGGAUAGCCCAGGGAAACCUGGAUUAAUACCGGAUGAGACGGGACCCGCGAUGGCGGGACCCGGGAAAGGCGCUGCGGCGCCGCCGGGGGAUGAGUCUGCGUCCCAUUAGCUAGACGGCGGGGUAACGGCCCACCGUGGCGACGAUGGGUAGCCGGCCUGAGAGGGUGGACGGCCACAUUGGAACUGAGACACGGUCCAGACUCCUACGGGAGGCAGCAGCUAAGAAUCUUCCGCAAUGGGCGAAAGCCUGACGGAGCGAACCGCCGCGUGAACGAAGAAGGCCGUGAGGUUGUAAAGUUCUUUUCGGGAGGGGGAACAACCGUGGCAGGGAAUGGCCGCGGGAUGACGUGAAUCCCGGAAUAAGCCCCGGCUAACUACGUGCCAGCCGCGGC